CCCCCACCAGUGACAAUGGAGUUCAUGAGAUGGUUAUGUGAUGUCAUCCCUCUGUUUACGCCAUCAUCUCACCAGGAUAGUCCGCAACAGUGACAUGUGGGAUAUAUUGAUUGGAAAAGAGAAAACACAAACAGCGGCUGCAGUGCAGGGACACGUCUACCUUCCAAUGGCUUGGUUUGAUUGACACCUAUUUCCAUAGAAAAGGCAAGUAAAAGAAGACAUGAUCCAUCAGACUGAAAUCUUAUGCAACACAGAGAUCUCCUGACCUUCAGUUCAUUACAUCCUGAUCUCUGUGUGAUGCCAAAUUGCCAUUGGGCGAAUCUCCCACAAGAUGUUGGUGCUGUUCCUGAACAGUAAUUGAGACUCUGACUCACUCUGUUUAAUUUGAUGUACAGAAGCAGUGCCUGUCAGCCUGGCUCUGACCUUUCAAGAUGUCCUUGUUUUCUAACCUGCUACAAGAUGUUUAAUAAGGUGUCUGUCUUAAUCCUUUGUCACAGAACCUGUCCAGGUCUAAAGAAUUCAGUGUCAUUUUAACUGAGAAACAAGGAAUUCCAAGUUAAAGAAACGUGUCUAAUAGUCUGUUUCCAUUAAACACCCACAUUAUAAUGAUAGACAGACAGACCCAAAGUUAGAUAUGGAUGGGCAUUCACCUCCAACUGGAAGUUUAUGUACACCUUUUUAACUAACGCUUUCCUGCAAAUGAAC